rnacentral:rRNA from 1 species
AUGGGCCAGCACCACCACGUCGGCUCUUUCCACAUUGCCUGUGAAGAACUCAGGAUGCACAAGCUCGUAUCCGUCGCUUUCCUAGUCUUCGUCUCAUGGUCGACGCUGGCGGUCUCUUCCCCGUCCGGCGUCCCUUGCUACCAAUCCAUCUUCAGCUUCGGUGACUCCUUCGCUGACACAGGCAAUAACCCUGUCGUCUUCAAAUGGCACCAUCUUCGACCCCGUCACACGUCCUCCCUAUGGCACCAGCUUUUUCGGCCGCCACACUGGUCGCAACGGCGACGGGCGGCUCAUCAUCGACUUCAUUGCUGA